CACCAGAAGCCGAAUUGCUGCAUCUUGUGUGUAUCUUGGAAACCUUUCCCGGUGCACAGACAGAAGGAUACCUCAUUCAUUGCCACAGCUGCACAGUAUCCAUGAUGUGGAUCAUGGCUCAUGACCCAGUUCCCUACGGAUAAACGUCAAGGUCGUUCCUGGUCUGUGGCCAUCACCAACACUGCCGCGACUAGUCUAGAAUGGGUGCCAUUUCAUGCAUUUGCAAUUCCCAGAAGUACACUGGUUAGUCAGCAGGUGAGUGCAUUGGUGAGAGGAUGUGACUCCAAUCUCAGGAAAUAUGGAAACCUUCUUCCCUUUCUAGCUGCAGCACCCCUAGUCUGGACAGCAUAUGGAAAGCACCCAUGAUCAUUUGAAAAUCACAAAAUAACUCUAAAUUUCUGCACAAGUAGGUCAUCUACCACUUGUCAUUCUAAUCCCACACUAGGCACUUUAAGAACAUGCACCCCUGGGCUUUUGCUACACUCUUUUCUUAUGCUGGUACCCACCUUGUGGUGACUGAGGGUUCUCUUAAUAUCCCCAAGUCUGAGGAAACUGAGGCACAAUUCGAUUAUCCACUUAUGAAGUGGUGAAUCUGUGGAUUAAACUUAUAAGACAUAUCCACUUCACACUCCAGAAAACUUCAUCAUUCCCAACAUUAUUGUCUUCCACCAUUGGGAAAGAAAUAUUUUCCUUGGUAAUUAGAGGAGAAAAGGUGUUUGGUGUUUCAUUGUCACUUUCCUGGUGUGGAAAGUAUCUACUUGCGGGUCUUUCCUAGGGCCAGCGAGUCCUAACAUGUUUGAACAUCUACCCAUGCUAUUUAAGGCAGCACACCAAACACAUUCCUGCUUCGACUGCAGUAUCUGUUUCAUCAAGAAGAGUAUUUUCCUUAAAUAAGUUUGAGGUGCCUACUACUUGGGGAAAUACUAAGCCUUUGGUAUGCUUCUGCUCAUCUAGGCAUGAGACGGCUCCAUCAUUACUUUGGUCUUCAGUUUUCUGAAUCUGCUUCUGGAAAACACUGCAAAAUGUCAUUUUUGAGAACUGCUGCUUUGCAAAUACUUUUCAUGCCUAUGUGAUGUGCUGUUAUUCUCUCUCAUUUCCUUGCUAACGUACAGUCAUGCAUAUGAAGCAAGUUAUGAGCCAGUUAAGACUGGAUCUGAGUCAACUAGAUUUGCAUGCAUUUUCAGCCACAGUACAGGUUCCUAAAAGUCAUCACAUGUCUAGUCUCAAAGUACUUAUAGAAUAGCAUCUGAUUAUUAUUAAGUAGAUUUUUUAAGGCCUCUCAAGGAUAAAGAUUUGAGGUGUUAUAUCCAUUGCUUUCCUCCCUCACACUGUUUUUGACUUUUAAUUCUUCCCUUUCUCCACUUUAAUUUCUAGUCUCCCACUGCUAAUUCUCCAUAUGACCCAUCCCCACCACCACCAUCCUCAACAGCCACCAGUGAGAAUUCUUACUACCUGAACUUCACUGUGACAAAAAUCAGCCUUGGACCUGUGGGCUAAAUUGUUCCAAAAGUCCUGAUGAAGUUCUCAGAUUCAGGCAAAGCUAGGUCUCCUGAUACCCUGUCUCAGUCAGUUUUGCAUUGCUAUAAAGGAAUACCUGAGUGAGGCUGGAUAAUUUAUAAAGAAAAGAGGUUUAUUUGGCUCACAGUUCUGCAGGCUAUACAAGAAGCAUUGCACCAGCAUAUGCUUCUGGUGAGGCCUCAGGGAGCUUCCACUCAUGGUGGAAUGGGAAGUGGAGCUGCUGUGUGCACAGAUGACAUGGUGAGAGAAGAAGCAAGAGAAAGAGGAGAGGAAGGUGCCAGGCUCUUUCUAACAAUCAGCUCUUGCAGGACUGAAAAGAGAACGCACUCAUUACCAUGAGGGCAGCACCAAGCCAUUCGUGAGGGAUCCGCCCCCAUGACCCAAACACCCCCCUGUAAAUCCUCAUCUCCAACAUUGGGGAUCAAAUUUCAACGUGGGGUUUGCAUUUUCCUGCAAACUCAUGUGCUGUGCACUCCCUCAUGUCAUCUAUGAAUGAUCACCUGCCCCAGGACUUCCUUGAAGGAAUAGCUCAAAUUAUUUUCUAAGAGUUCUGGGGGUAAAAAAGCAAAAAAACUAACUCUACUGACACCCUUCUUUGUCUCCCAGUGUUUAUGGAGCGUAACCAGUGUUCAUAGCCCUCUGCCAGGCAUCGCAGAUACAGAGGUCAAGGAGAUAGACAUAGCCCUGCCCCUGUGGAACUUGUAAUAUAGUUGGGGAGACAUAUGAAACCAUUGCUCAUGUAAAGGUCUGAUUGCCAAUUAUUACACAGGCUAGCAAGGGAAAGAACAGAGUCGAUGACAGAACGGCUCUGGGCACCUAACUUAAUUCAGGUCUUAUAAGGCCAAGGAGUGGGCCUCACUACAGAAAUGGUGUGGAAGGUGAAAUCAGGAAGCAGUUGAAGUCCAGCUUCUGAAAUGUUAGAACACAGACUCAUCAUACAACACAGCAAUUCUAUUCUUUGAUGUCUACCCCCCCCAAUAAAAAUGAAAACAUAUGUCCACCCAGAAACUUGUACAUGCAUGUUCACAGCAGCUCUAUUGAUAAUAAAAGGAGGAAAUGACAAGAAACUACCAAAAGAGAACAAUGUGAAGGACUGGGUGGAAGCUGGUUCUUCAGUGAAAUCUCACAAAUUCCAGUGUUUCUAGUACUUCUUACCAACACUUACAUGUAUU
rnacentral:lncRNA from 1 species